rnacentral:lncRNA from 1 species
CGCCUAGGAUUCUUCAUGGUUAGACUCAAAACAAACUAAGCACGUUUGUCAACCAAACUAAACAUGUUUGUACAAAGCAUGUUUGCCAACGAAUGAAAUAAAAUUCCCAAUAAUAUUUUAAAAAGAACAUUUUCACUUUUUAUUCAUUAGAUUUGUUUUAUUGUCCCAUACAAGAAUAUAUAUGGUUUAGGGGUGGGGAUCUCGACCGUUUACAAGUUUGCAGACAGAUGGGAGUGUGGGGGCCCCCAGGGACUCCCCCAAAUAGUUCAUUAGAUUUGUUUUAUUGUCCCAUACGAGAAUAUAUGUGGUUUAGGGGUGGGGAUCUGACCGUUUACAAGUUUGCAAACAGAAGGGGGUGGGGUGACCCCCAGGGACUCCUCAAAUAGUUCAUUAGAUUUGUUUUAUUGUCCCAUACAAGAAUAUAUAUGGUUUAGGGGUGGGGAUCUCGACCGUUUACGAGUUUGCAAACAGAAGGGGGGUGGGGUGACCCCAAGGGACUCCCCAAAUAGUUCAUUAGAUUUGUUUUAUUGUCCCAUACAAGCAUAUAUAUGGUUUAGGGGUGGGGAUCUCGACCGUUUACAAGUUUGCAAACAGAAGGGGGUUGGGUAGACCCCCAGGGACUUCCCUUUAAUUUCAAUAGAUUUGUUUUAUUGUCCCAUUCAAGAAUAUAUAUGGUUUCGGGGUGGGGAUCUGGACCGUUAACAAGAUAAUAGCACAUUCUGAAUUUGAACGGGUGGGGUGACCCACAGGGACUUCCCUUUAAUUUCAUUUGAUUUGUUUUAUCGUCCUAUUCAAGAAUAUAUAUGGUUUAGGGGUGGGGAUCUGGACUGUUUACAAGAUAAUAGCAUUUUCUCAAAUUGAAGGGGUGGAGAUGACCCCCCCGGGACUUAUCCUAUAUUUCAUGUCAUUUGUUUUAUUGUCCUUUAAUCAUUUCUGAAGACUGCAUGUGUCUAUCAC